rnacentral:tRNA from 2 species
GCGGACGUGGCGAAAUGGUAGACGCAGCGGACUUAAAAUCCGCUUCGCGUAAGCGAGUGUCGGUUCGAGUCCGACCGUCCGCACCA